rnacentral:rRNA from 1 species
UGGGGAAUAUUGGACAAUGGGCGCAAGCCUGAUCCAGCCAUGCCGCGUGAGUGAUGAAGGCCUUAGGGUUGUAAAGCUCUUUCAGUGGGGACGAUAAUGACGGUACCCACAGAAGAAGCCCCGGCUAACUUCGUGCCAGCAGCCGCGGUAAUACGAAGGGGGCUAGCGUUGUUCGGAUUUACUGGGCGUAAAGCGCACGUAGGCGGAUCGUUAAGUCGGGGGUGAAAUCCUGGAGCUCAACUCCAGAACUGCCUUCGAUACUGGCGAUCUUGAGUCCGGAAGAGGUGAGUGGAACUCCUAGUGUAGAGGUGGAAUUCGUAGAUAUUAGGAAGAACACCAGUGGCGAAGGCGGCUCACUGGUCCGGUACUGACGCUGAGGUGCGAAAGCGUGGGGAGCAAA